UACGUAGGGUGCGAGCGUUGUCCGGAAUUAUUGGGCGUAAAGAGCGUGUAGGCGGCUAGAUAAGUCCGCUGUGAAAUCUCGAGGCUCAACUUCGAGCUGUCGGUGGAAACUAUCUGGCUAGAGUCCGGAAGAGGAGAAUGGAAUUCCUGGUGUAGCGGUGAAAUGCGCAGAUAUCAGGAAGAACACCCGUGGCGAAGGCGGUUCUCUGGGACGGUACUGACGCUGAGACGCGAAAGCGUGGGGAGCGAACAGG
rnacentral:rRNA from 1 species